CGGCGCCGUGAUGAUCCCGCCCUGGCUGUCGAGUCUCACGACCGUGCGAGCCGCCGCCAUGCACUACCAUCUGAGCGCCG